GCGGUGGCCGCCGGGGUCUACGAGGACCUUCCCUCCCUCCCAGGAAGACACCAACCGACGCCGCCUCCUGCUCCUCCUGCCUGUGCUCGCCGAGGGCCGUCCUGGAGGGCACAGUCCACGGUCCUCCUCCUCCUCCUCUUCCUCCUCCUCCUGUAUUAUUGGACGCCUCCUCAUCACUCACUCUCACUCAGCGAGCGGAAAAAACCCCAAAAAGACCCUAACCACGAGCGAGGAGAACCAGAGAUGAGCAGCGAGCGAGGCUGAGGAAGCAACGCUGAUUGUGGGGUUGCUUCACCCAGCAGACACCGCCGGCACAGCGAGGUUUUCCAUGGGAACAGGUAGCAAGACGUGCCGGUCAGAUCCCUGAAGGAUACACCAACGAGCACAAACACUGACAUUUGAUCAUGAAAUAAAAAACUGGGAGCGGUGGUUUGUCCCCUAAGGGUCCAGGUUACACAGAAACACACACACACACACACAUCAAAAACUAGUUGCUAUUGCAGCAGAAACACAGCACUUAGAUCAUUACAGGUAAAUUAAGCAGGUGUUUAUAGGGCAUCAGAUGAAUAUGGGCAGGGCAGACAGCUGGCAUAAAGUGGGCACUGCUGGGGUCUUACCCUCGGAUUACCGUUUGGCAGAUUAGAGCUGAGCAGCAGUCACCUCAAGCUCACCAGCCUCAUGAAACGUACGCCGCCAGCCAAUAGGGCGUGCACAAACAAACACACACAGCUGCACAGCUGUAGAACACAAUUAAAUUAGUUCAGCUGGCAGACGGUGUGCAACCCUAGCUUAACACCAUACACACAUUAAAUCACAGGCACAAAGACGUGCACACACACACACACACACACACACACACACACACACACACACACACACACACACACACACAUGCUCUGGCCUGCAGGACAGACGCUGUCCCCACCCUUCCUCCCAUCGUCCUCUCAAAGCCAGCUGGAGAGAAGAUGAGAUUUGGGGCUGAUUGGUUUUGUCUUUUUUUCCAUCGCACCCUCUGUGCAACACUCCAUCGACCACUUUCGUCUCUCCUUGGUGCAGCUUCGGAUGAACCAUCGUCCUAAAAACGGGAAAGACUUCGGAAAAUCCGCUUGCGAUGCUUUGAUUACUUCUACCCAAAGUCAUUCUUACUUUUAUCUCUGUGUUUUUUAAUCUCUAUGGGUGCAGAGUGGAGCAAUCAAACGUCUUGAUGAGUUGUUGGACUUCUGUGUGAAUUGUUGGCAGAACUGAACUCAACGCUGCACUCUCACUGGAGCAGCGUCACAACUUUGUUCAAAAAUCUCAUUAAGAUUUCAUCAAUUGCCACAAAGAAUUUAAACUUUUUAUUCCUAACUUUUUAAACUUUGUGUCAGAGGAAAGUGUGGAGAGGGACAGCAACAGAGGAGUGCUUUAAACUUGACAGAAGUGCUAUUCACAGAGUGGCUCUGAGAGCCUCGGUGAAAUAGGCAGACACAGACAAUGGACUGAAAGCGGUAAAAGAGGAAAGGAGAGACCUUGAGACAGAGAGGGAGAAAAUGAGCCUUGAGUGAAAGGCAAAAAUAGGAGUAAAAUAACGGAAGAGCGAAUACUGAAAAAAGGCUGAUAACAGAGGAGUGGAGCAGUGAAGGGGAAAA